rnacentral:ncRNA from 2 species
UCUAGCGUGCUAUACUGCGGUGGCCAAACUGACACCGCCGGGUGAUCAGGGGAAGUGGGUGCGAAGCCCACACGGUCCCGCCACUGUGAGCGGCGCCCGCCUUCGCCCUAACGGGCUACGGCGUGGCGCGCGAGUCAGGAAACCUGCCCCGGCGCUUGUCCCCUU